rnacentral:piRNA from 1 species
CGGAGGACUGUAGUGGAUAAGCUGUAGCGA